GAUGAAAAACGCAGCGAAAUGCGAUACGUAGUGUGAAUUGCAGAAUUCAGUGAAUCAUCGAAUCUUUGAACGCACAUUGCGCCCUUUGGUAUUCCAAAGGGCAUGCCUGUUCGAGCGUCAUUUGUACCUUCAAGCUUUGCUUGGUGUUGGGCGUUUUUUGUCUCCCUCAUUCUGGGAGACUCGCCUUAAAACGAUUGGCAGCCGGCCUACUGGUUUCGGAGCGCAGCACAUAUUUUGCGCUUUGUAUCAGGAGAAAAGGACGGUAAUCCAUCAAGACUCUACAUUUUUAACUUUUGACCUCGGAUCAGGUAGGGAUACCCGCUGAACUUAAGCAUAUCAAUAAGCGGAGGA
rnacentral:misc_RNA from 1 species